CUUCAACGUCCUCUUUCGCCUUGGAACGUCAGCGUGAUGUGGCCGUCUACGGGAGAGGAUGCCACCGUCUCAUUGCUUCUGACCGGCAGUUGAUCCUGAAAUGUGAGCAGGUACACGGGGAAGACCCUCAUUCAGCUGGGUGUCAUUGUCUCGCCGACAGCCUCCUCUAAUGAAAAGCACAGUGUAAUGUGGCAGUGAAAUUGCUUUGAGCCCUCAGCAUGGACAUUCCUAACCUUGGGUUACACUGAUGGCAGAUGCACCCACCUAGAGCUUGCUGCAAGGAUUUUGGUUACACUGAUGGCAGAUGCACCCACCUAGAGCUUGCUGCAAGGAUUUUAAGUGUGCUGGUGACUAAACGGAGCAGCCGCUGUGUGUGAGUAAUGUUGGAGCAUUUUAUUGGUCAUAUACCAAGGCUUUCAGGUAGCACCGUUCCUGACUUGCUGUGGACUUGACCAGAAAUCAAAACAUCCCAUUUGGUUUUUUCAGCAAUUUGCUGAAAACCUGUUGGGGGACACUGCUGCAUUUUUCUCCUUACCCCAAAAGUAUUUUACUAAUCCCAAUCUCUUGUGUGUUUCACAGGACGUGAUGAGAGUUCUGUGAGAGAAUAACUUGUCACAAUAGUUGACCAGCAUUAUAUUUAAGUCAUUAAAUCAACAAAACUA